AUACAGAGUGUUGCAAGGUUUAACAUUUUAGCGGCAUAAGUAACUUCUAGGCUUCGUAGUCGGCACAUUUCGGACAUAUUGUCUAAAAACGAUAGUUUGUGCACUGUCUGACCUAAAUGCUUAGGUAAACUAUUUGCUAAAACCUAGAAUAUAGAAUUCAAUGUAACUAAAGGCUGUAAAUGAUGUUAUUGGAUCCAGAGACACACAGAAGUUUUGGAUUAAGGGUGGCGGC
rnacentral:lncRNA from 1 species